rnacentral:lncRNA from 1 species
UCAAAACUAGGCUCCCAGGGUUCAGUUGGUUUUAGUGAUUUUGUCUGACUUGAUGAUUCCUAUCCAAAAAUUUACCUCAGUGUGAUUGGGAAGGCAGGAGCAGAGCAGGGUGGUCUCCUAAUCCUUAAUUUAUUAAUUGGCUCGCUGUACAAGGCACCUUCACUCAUGUACACACACAAUUACAAUCAGUCUUCCAUGCCUUACGGCAUGUGUCUACCACUCAGAUUUCACUGACCUGAAGAUGCCCUAACUCCCCAUUUUCCUUCCCCCAGAGCCACUGGAGGUCAUUGGCCUUUAUAAUCUCCAGAUUUUUGCCUUUCCCACAUUGCCAUGGUAUUAGUAAGUGCACAUAUUUUAAAUUAUAAUCUUUCUUACCACAGAGAAAGGUUUCUAUUCCAAAAGAGAGCCAAGGAGGGUCCAGAGGAGGUAAAACCCUUAACUCGCCUUUAAGCAUCGGCCAGCAGAACCAACCACCUGGGAAGGGAACUGGAAAGGAAGACAAAGCUCAUUUUGAUUAGUGGUUUCUGUUACAUUUCCCACAUUCCUAUUAAACCACAUACUCC